AAGUCGUAACAAGGUUUCCGUAGGUGAACCUGCGGAAGGAUCAUUACCAACACGAACUUCCAAGCCCUGCGCUUUCGAGAGAACUGCAGGCAACCUAUGAGGAAGCGCAGCGCGGAGCGCGCUGCGUGAGGGAGCCGGGCAUGCUGACAUGAGUGGCCGGCUCUAGCGCCGUUCCCCACCGUAGGUGGGACCUCUGAGAACGGACUCGGUACUUCACCGAACUCUGUGCUUGAAAAGGAACCCAAAUGCAGUACAACUGCAAACGGUGGAUCACUCGGCUC
rnacentral:misc_RNA from 1 species